ensembl:lncRNA
GUUCCGUUGUAAGGAGAGGAAUUAUGCAAUAUCUCUGAGGCAGUGUGAUUGGCCGCUACAACACAGGCCACAGAGUUUCCUUCAUUAUUCCUGCCUUGUUGCCAUGGUGGGCUCAGUAGAUCUAAGCCACAUUACCUGUAAUGUAAACAUUUCCUGGAGGCUGGGCAAACAGAUCUGGAUUCCAGUACUAUUUCAAAUCUUCCAGAUACUUCAGCGGUUUGUUUCAGCCUGUCUGGAAUUCCAGCCAUCAGCGAAGACUAAGUGCAGCCGUGUCUGUGGUUCUGAGUGGCUGAACGGAGCUUGACAACGGAGCGGGCGGGCAGACAUGUUUUGUAUAACAGGAUGCACACAAGAGGAAUGACUAGUGUUUGUAGACAACCACGCCACAGUACACUGAGCUGGAGCCUCGCGUCUGCCGUCACAUGAUGAAUGUCCACCAUCAGGGUAAUAGCCUUGUGUUGCCAUAGCAUUAUGACAACGGCAAUUAAUCCAGCACUUGGCCACAUCGACCAAUCAGACGUGACCAAUCAGCAGGACGUGUUCUCUUCGUGAUUCCCGGUUCCAAGCGGAGGAGUGAGAAGCCAAUUCGGUUGGCAGGGUGUGAGCUCGACGGUCGUAAACUGUGGCUCGCUGUAUGCGUCUCCUUCAUAGCGGCAGCAGCAAUCUGCCAAUGAACGCAUUAAAGACCUUGCUUUAUUAUCCAACAGCUGGCAGCUGGUGGCCUGUCUUCAUCAUCUCUGGAUUACUGUCUAGAAACAGAGACAACUCUAAAAUUGACUGAAAUUAUGGGAAAACAGCAAAUAAGUUUUUACAGUUAUACCUCAUUCAGACUGGCGAAGUACUGUUAAGAAAAUGGCCCAUGUCUUUUAUUUAAGUCCAAAACGUAUGCUCUGUUGCUUUCAGGUACCAUAAAGAAUAUACAUAUUCUAGUAUAAUAUUGAUUUUUCUUUUGUAUAUAUUUAGCGUACUAUUUCAGCAGUUUAUUGUUUUUGGUUACUUCAAUGGAGAUGUUGUGAUGGUCAUGUCAACUAAAAGAACACUUUCAUUUUUUAGACAACUUCCUCGUAAACUCAUGACAAGUUACAAAUUCACUUCAGUGAAAUAAAAACUGUUUAUUCUCAGUGGAUAUUGCAGAGAUAUGCUUUGGAGAGUUUGUAGCCUGUCUGCGCUGGUUUUAUUGUUGUCAUAUAAAUCAUGUUAUCCCACAGGUAUACUUCAGAAUAAAGUGACUCUCUUCUUUUUCUAUCUUCUCCCAGGCACUGACACUUCAGACAAUCUCAUUUUACAAUAUCCGAGGAGGAAAUCAGAAAAAAAUAAUGUUAGGUCUAUAGAGAUCAAUGUACUGACCAAAAAGCAAAUACUUGGUUCUCUGGAGCAGUAAAGUACAUAGAAUAGUUGUGCCGAUGACAAAAAAG